CGAAGGUGUCCGCCGCCAUUUUGCUUGUGGGCUGCCGCCCGCCGUUCCCUCUCCACCGCGGUUAGAAGACAGCCAACUGGAGGCAGAGCGGUGGACAGAAUCUCCGUCUAUUUCACAACAGAUGCAUUCAACAAUUCACCGAAGUCUGGCCUCCAGCGCGGGAUGAACUCGGUUGGGGUGUCACUCGACGCCCACUAGGAGCUGAGGCGGUUCCAGUGCGCAGGCUCCGAGCACUGGAUAAAAGCGGAGCUGGCGAGUCCAGCGCCGUCUCGAUGGAGGAGCGAGAAACGGAAGAGGUCGGGGGGAAAAGCAGCAGGAAAAAUACAGCCACCGUCAGCGCCGCCUCCCUGCCACCUGUAUCGGGGUAAAAAGCUGCCGUUGCCGUGGGUGCAGUUGCCGUCUGUGCCUCCUACUUUGGCCCCGGGGAAGGAUUUCCCCGCCGGCGGGACAAUGUGCGGGGAGGGGAGCGGGAAUUCCUUUAUGCGGCGGUGAUUAAACGAGGGAGGGUCAGAGAGACGGUUAUCUCGAAGAACAAAGGGGCAGGCCAAAGAAUAAAGGGUUUCCCCAGUAAAAUGACACGGUGAUUGCGGCUCCUGUUUUCGGGGUCUUUCCCCGAAAUGGCGGUUUCUAUCUUCUAGCUCCACAGCCUCCCGGAGCGCUUGGUAAGCGGAGUCGGGAGAGGCAGAGGCGGUCCGUGCAGCCAAUCAGUGCCCGAGGUGUUCUGUCGGGCGUGUCGUGAUUGGCUAGCGGUGACCUCAUGCUGCAGCAGCGGGUGGGGCCAGAGCCGUCGGGGGAGGCUGUUGCAAAGAGAGAGAGCGAGCGCAGUGACGAUGGUGAUCUUUGCUGCCGCGGCCGAUAUGGAACCCAAGCGGUGGCGAAGGGAAUCUCAAGGCUUUUCCUUGACUAUUUUCUCCUGUCCCUGCGCGAGGUGAGGGCCCCGGCUCGGCCUCUGCGAAACUUCGGGGUGCUGGCGUGGACGAGGAGACACAAAUUCUCCCAUGAUUUUAGUAACUGCGUCAGGGCAAGAUGGCGCUGGGUCUCCUUGGGGCGCGGGGGGAGAGGCACGUCCACCGCCGCCGCAGCGCAUGUGACCGGGCUGCAUUCCUGUGGGGUUUGGCUCAGACCCAGGUUGGGACGGGGGAGGGGAAAGGGCUGGGGCGGAGGAGACUGUGGUGCGGUCGGCGUCGGCCGCCUGAAGAGGAAGAGUUGACUGUUGAGGGCGCUUCUCCUCCCCCAUACUGCUUAGCAGCUGCGGCUCUCUGGGAAAAGCCCCCGGAGGGACACUUCUUAGGGGGUGUGACGGCUGUUGGUGGAGGGGAAGGUUUGGCGCCCUAUUUUCUCAUCUGCCUUUCUCUUUGCGAGGUGUAUUUACGUAAGAUGGCUGGUCCCUAAUGUGGGAGUCGGAAUCAACCGUGAGUCCCGAAGGGCCACUGGACUGAGUAAAAAGGGGAGUCUAGUUCCUGGGCCACAGCGCCGAGGAGUAUCGAUUAUUUUCUGAGAAAAAGUAAAGUUUCUCAGAUCCGAAUGGCAAAAUAUUCCUUAAGUUCGGAAACAAGUGUAAAAGGUGUGAUAAUACCCAGGAACACGUUUAGUUACCUAAAAGAAGAAACCAAGGAGAAUAUCAUCUGAAGUGUGAGGGGCCCUCUUCAAACUUGUUUUUUCCGUCAGUAUUUACUUUCUUCCCGUUUCCUCCCUAUUUGUAUAUUCUACAAGAAUGUGAAAUUUUAUGAGUGGAUUUGUUUUAUUUUAGACAUGAUUAGUAAUACAGAAUAAAAGUUGCCAGUGUUGUACA